rnacentral:rRNA from 1 species
AUUGAACGCUGGCGGCAUGCUUUACACAUGCAAGUCGAACGGUAACAGGGAGCUUGCUCCGCUGACGAGUGGCGAACGGGUGAGUAAUGCAUCGGAACGUACCCAGUCGUGGGGGAUAACGUAGCGAAAGUUACGCUAAUACCGCAUACGUCCUGAGGGAGAAAGCGGGGGACCGUAAGGCCUCGCGCGAUUGGAGCGGCCGAUGUCGGAUUAGCUGGUUGGUGGGGUAAAGGCCUACCAAGGCGACGAUCCGUAGCGGGUCUGAGAGGAUGAUCCGCCACACUGGGACUGAGACACGGCCCAGACUCCUACGGGAGGCAGCAGUGGGGAAUUUUGGACAAUGGGGGCAACCCUGAUCCAGCCAUGCCGCGUGAGUGAAGAAGGCC